rnacentral:rRNA from 1 species
UUGACCUCGAAUCAGGUAGGAAUACCCGCUGAACUUAAGCAUAUCAAUAAGCGGAGGAAAAGAAACCAACAGGGAUUGCCCUAGUAACGGCGAGUGAAGCGGCAACAGCUCAAAUUUGAAAUCUGGCCUCUGGUCCGAGUUGUAAUUUGCAGAGGAUGCUUCGGGCGCGGUGCCUUCCAAGUCCCCUGGAACGGGGCGCCGGAGAGGGUGAGAGCCCCGUACGGUUGGCGGCCAAGCCUGUGUGAAGCUCCUUCGACGAGUCGAGUAGUUUGGGAAUGCUGCUCUAAGCGGGAGGUAGACCCCUUCUAAAGCUAAAUAUAGGCCAGAGACCGAUAGCGCACAAGUAGAGUGAUCGAAAGAUGAAAAGCACUUUGAAAAGAGGGUUAAACAGCACGUGAAAUUGUUGAAAGGGAAGCGCUUGUAACCAGACGUGCGCCGGGGUGUUCAGCGGGCGUUCUCGCCCGUGCACUCGCCUCGGCGCAGGCCAGCGUCGGUUUGGGCGGAGGGAUAAAGGCGUCUGGAAUGUGGCUCCCCCGGGAGUGUUAUAGCCAGGCGUGCCAUGCCUCCACCCGGACCGAGGUACGCGUUCUGCAAGGACGCUGGCGUAAUGGUUCCCAGCGACCCGUCUUGAAACACGGACCAAGGAGUCGAGGUUUUGCGCGAGUGUUUGGGUGGAAAACCCGCACGCGUAAUGAAAGUGAACGUAGGUGAGAGCUUCGGCGCAUCACCGACCGAUCCUGAUGUUUUCGGAUGGAUUUGAGUAAGAGCGUAGGGCCUCGGACCCGAAAGAUGGUGAACUAUGCUUGGAUAGGGUGAAGCCAGAGGAAACUCUGGUGGAGGCUCGCAGCGGUUCUGACGUGCAAAUCGAUCGUCAAAUCUGAGCAUGGGGGCGAAAGACUAAUCGAACCAUCUAGUAGCUGGUUACCGCCGAAGUUUCCCUCAGGAUAGCAGUGUUGUUCUUCAGUUUUAUGAGGUAAAGCGAAUGAUUAGGGACUCGGGGGCGCUAUUUAGCCUUCAUCCAUUCUCAAACUUUAAAUAUGUAAGAAGCCCUUGUUGCUUAAUUGAACGUGGGCAUUCGAAUGUAUCAACACUAGUGGGCCAUUUUUGGUAAGCAGAACUGGCGAUGUGGGAUGAACCAUACGGGGGGUUAAGGUGCCAGAGUAGACGCUCAUCAGACACCACAAAAGGCGUUAGCACAUCUUGACAGCAGGACGGUGGCCAUGGAAGUCGGAAUCCGCUAAGGACUGUGUAACAACUCACCUGCCGAAUGUGCUAGCCCUGAAAAUGGAUGGCGCUCAAGCGUCUCACCCAUACCCCCCCCUCAGGGUAGAAACGAUGCCCUGAGGAGUAGGCGGCCGCAGUGCUGUGUGACGAAGGCUAGGGCGUGAGCCCGGCUCGAACCGGCACUGGUGCGGAUCUUGGUGGUAGUAGCAAAUACUUCAAUGAGAACUUGAAGGACCGAAGUGGGGAAAGGUUCCAUAUGAACAGCGGUUGGAUGUGGGUUAGUCGAUCCUAAGCCAUAGGGAAGUUCCGUUUCAAAGGGGUACUCGUACCCCGUGUGGCGAAAGGGAAGCCGGUUAAUAUCCCGGCACCUGGAUGUGGGUUUUUCGCGGCAACGCAACCGAACGCGGAGACGGCGGCGGGGGCCCCGGGCAGAGUUCUCUUUUCUUCUUAACAGCCUCUCACCCUGGAAACAGUUUGUCUGGAGAUAGGGUUUAAUGACUGGAAGAGCCCGGCACUUCUGCCGGGUCCGGCGCGCCCCCGACGUCCCUUGAAAAUCCGCGGGAGGGAAUAAUUCUCACGCUAGGUCGUACUCAUAACCGCAGCAGGUCUCCAAGGUGA